GACGAACGCUGGCGGCGUGCCUAAUACAUGCAAGUAGAACGCUGAAGGAGGAGCUUGCUUCUCUGGAUGAGUUGCGAACGGGUGAGUAACGCGUAGGUAACCUGCCUGGUAGCGGGGGAUAACUAUUGGAAACGAUAGCUAAUACCGCAUAAUAGCAGUUAUUGCAUGAUAACUGUUUGAAAGGUGCAAUUGCACCACUACCAGAUGGACCUGCGUUGUAUUAGCUAGUUGGUGGGGUAACGGCUCACCAAGGCGACGAUACAUAGCCGACCGGAGAGGGUGGUCGGCCACACUGGGACGGAGACACGCCCCAGAGUCCUACAGGAGGCAGCAGUAGGGAAUCUUCGGCAAUGGACGGAAGUCUGACCGAGCAACGCCGAGUGAGUGAAGAAGGUUUUCGGAUCGUAAAGCUCUGUUGUAAGAGAAGAACGAGUGUGAGAGUGGAAAGUUCACACUGUGACGGUAUCUUACCAGAAAGGGACGGCUAACUACGUG
rnacentral:rRNA from 1 species